UUCAGAUUGGUUUUCUCCCGGUAAUGAAAAUAGAAACUGCUGCAUCAUGAAGUAAAAUACCCUCAAUCAUGCAUGAAUUCAGUAGUGCAGAAGAGAUGGAGCGUUGAAACUCACGCUGACUGAAAGUUCUGCCUAUGGAGAGGGCUCAUUUGAAUGCAGUUGAUGGAGUGUGAUUUUUGUCUGUGCACAGUCCGUAAAGAAGGCUUUGCCCAUCUCAUGAUAAAUAUCAUUCUCCGUAUGUUUACUUCCUCGGAUAAACCAUUUUGCCUGCGUUAAAGCGACUGAUAUGGGUUUACACAAAUUUGUUUUUACCGGAAACGGUGGAACAUUGCAAAUAAUCCUGCCACUAGUAUCUCUUACUGUUACACCUACAGGAAACAAAAGCUCUGCAAUUGCACACUUUUUUUUUCUACCAGGAAAUACACUCAGGAAUGUCAGACACGGUGAGGCAUUCUGUUUCUCACUUAUUACAUUUUCUGUUAUGUUUCACAGGAAGGAUGUAUGAGAUAAUCACACUCAGCAUGCUCUGCAGAUCCCCGUUAUCUGUGCUGCCCCUGCAGACGAGCCAGUGGAUGCUGGCACAGGUACCGUAGAUGGCAAUAAAGAGCUGAAUGCAGUUGAUAGUCACGGAGGUGAUUGGACAUUAUUUUUUUCCCCAAUCUACACCAAACAAUGUGUACAAUAUCUUACAGUAAAAGUAAACUCUUAGUUAAAAUGUGUCAGGUUAAGAGAUAUGUCUGUGUGACAAGUGAAGAAUGUGCACGACGAGUUAAAAGGGAAAGACAAAUAUGUCGAACAGUCUACUAAGGCCACUAGAGUAACAGUCAACAAAGUGUAAAAUCUGUUGUUUAUUCUAUGUUUGGUUCGCUUUCACAGUGUUUUAACAUGAGCCAGCAUGAUCUGUUAUCAGCAAGAAAGCCUUGAUCUGUUAUACUAUAUCGAUUGCUUUUGUCUUGCUCCAUUUAGCGCUAAUUUCUCCCGUUCUAGUAAACGCUCUACCUGAGGAGACACACGCAAUUUAUUCUCGUUUUCCAGGAGCGAAGACGAAGGUGGACAUUCCGAAGCCUGGAGCCUGGAAAAUCAAUCAGGAACAAAGGAGAUCCAUACCAAAAUCAACAUUCAACCAGCGGUGCAUCAGAGCCAGCGGCUGCCCAGAGGGCGGGAGGAUGGACGUCCAGCUCCAGCAAGGCCAUUCGGCUAUCAGGAUAGCAGAGACAGGCACGGAGCCUGGUGCCGGGCUGCGAGAGCCACGGCCUGCAGGGGAGUCCCGUUUGAUGUGGAGCAUGCCUCAUCAACCUGUGCCUCAGUCAGUGAUCUCCCAGAAUGACUCCAACCAGCUGCUACAGAAAAAGCUUCUCACGACAGACACAAACGGUUAUGGAUGAUUCCUUCCCAUCCAGGUGGGACAAGCCUCAUUAAUUGUGAAACUA